CUAGUCUGCCUACUUCCCGUCUACUCCUUUCGUCAUUCGUUGAUACGAAUACGAAUGACAAUCGAGUGGGUGAGAAGGAAGACUUG
rfam:Pristionchus pacificus strain PS312 contig173, whole genome shotgun sequence.